ACUAUACCUUAAAACAAAAAUUUUCACCAGAGUAAUACGCCUAAACAGUUAAAACUCUAAGAACUUGGCGGUUUUUUAGAUUCUAAUCGAAGGAGUUUGUUAUUAAAUUGAUACCCCACAAGGAACCUUACCUUUCCCUAGAAUUAACAGCUUGUAUACCAUCGUCGCCAGCUAACCUUCAAAGAACUAAAGCUUGUUGAACACCUUCUCAACGUCAGAUCAAGGUGCAGCUUAUGGGAAGAGGAAAUAAUGAGCUACUAUACCAAAUAAGUUAGAGGAUAUAUUAAUUAAAUAUCUAUAUUGAAAAAGGAUUCGAUAGUAACCACACUAAAGAAAAAGAAAGUGAAACUAGCUCUAAAAUACGCACAUACCGCCCG
rnacentral:rRNA from 1 species